AGCGAACGCUGGCGGCAGGCCUAAUACAUGCAAGUCGAGCGCACCUUCGGGUGAGCGGCGGACGGGUGAGUAACGCGUGGGAACGUGCCCUUUGGUACGGGAUAACUGAGGGAAACUUCAGCUAAUACCGUAUGUGCCCUACGGGGGAAAGAUUUAUCGCCAUUGGAGCGGCCCGCGUUGGAUUAGGUAGUUGGUGAGGUAAAGGCUCACCAAGCCUACGAUCCAUAGCUGGUCUGAGAGGAUGAUCAGCCACACUGGGACUGAGACACGGCCCAGACUCCUACGGGAGGCAGCAGGAGGGAAUCUUGCGCAAUGGGCGAAAGCCUGACGCAGCCAUGCCGCGUGUAUGAUGAAGGUCUUAGGAUUAUAAAAUACUUUCACCGGGGAAGAUAAUGACGGUACCCGGAGAAGAAGCCCCGGCUAACUUCGUGCCAGCAGCCGCGGUAAAAC
rnacentral:rRNA from 1 species